AUAUUUCCAAUAUUGCAUUAUCCAUUACUUAUUUCAGUUAUUGUGCUCAUCCCUCUUGUCUGUUGAUAUUUGAAGUGGUGUCAUUUUCAUUUGUAUGUUAUUCUUUACUGUUUUGUAUCAGCUGAAAUUUAUGUCAAUCAUUCAUGAUUUUGAGAUGAGAUCUAUAAUUAAAAAUGUUCGCUUAUUUUUUAGUUGUACGACUAAGUCACCUGGUUUGUUGGUGCAUUUCAAAGAGUCCGGAGCAAACAGCCAAAAAUAUUGCAAAUACAAUUGUGUGCUUAAUUAUGCUGCCUUCCAAAAUCAGGCCCAAAUUGGUUGCUUUUCUUUGUGGCUUCAAGACCGCCAUAGCCCGCUUCUAUAUUCCAUGAAAAACAUAUCCUUUGUAUUAAAAGGUUAUUGUCAUGGUUUAUUUAUUGGCUCUAUAUUUGCUGUGCUCAAACAAGACACGCUUCUUCUGUUCCCGACUUUGAUUGAUGAUUGUUAGAGCAGAGCCCAGAGUGCCAGACUAGUUGGGAUUCCUUCCCCAGAUUGAUGCAUAUCAAAAGACAGACUUCUGUCAAUAUGCAUAGUAGGAUCACAAAGUCCAAACAGUUAGGAUGCAAUGCUAAGUCCAAACUAAACAGUCAUGGUUAUUUAUUAUGUUGGUAAACAAUAAUAAAUAAAGCUGCCGAAUCUUCGUUCACCGUGCCCAGUUAUGUUAUUUACAAGAAAGUACAGACUUAUACUGGUGGAGAUACUUCAGUUUUCUGCUUAUGGUUCUCACAAUUCAGAGUCCUUAAGGUAAAUGUGUUCAUCAUCCAAGUUUUGGGGACUGAGUAUCUGUGGCUAUCUGCUUGUAAUUUGUUUUGGUUUGUCCGCAAAUCUUGUCAAGCUUUAUGCUCUUCCAAUUUAUCGUGUUUAUUUGGUUCUAUCAUCCAAGAAAACAUAAGUGGUGGAAUUAUAUUUUAUGUACUUCGAAUUAAUAAAAUGUUCGUAUACUAAGAUUUUUCCCCAUACAUAUGAGUGCAGGGAAACAAGAAUAAUGAAAAACACAACCUUUGAGUAUCUACUUUAAAUAUAAAGUGUUGUGAAAAACGAUACCAAUAACAAAGUAUAAUAGGGAAUUAUAGGGGAGAAGAAGAACACAAUAAUUGGUUAUAACCGUUAUUCUUUUACUUUCUCUUAAAACAAGAUUACAAGUUUACAAGAAUAACAAAUAACCUCUCUCACCCUAAAUUAGGAUUUGCAGCUUAGCAAUGAUGAGAGACUAGUAUGCUAUUUAUAAUAAAACCUAACAUACUAACUAAUGGGCUUUUUCCACAAGACCCAUUACACAAGUCAACUUAAUAAACAAGCUAACUUAACAAAUUAGGGUUUAAACACUAAAACCUAAUUUAACAUGCUAACAACCCUAGCAUCUUCGACACAAGCAUGUGAACAACCUUCGACUUCAUGCUUAACCCUGUCGAACCAAGAAGCUACCCUUCGGCCAUACUAGAGUUCGAUCCAAAAUCUCACAUAAAGCCUAGUUAGCUGGAAUUGCAUCGUGGGAUAGAAUCUGGGUCUAGAACAAUUCUUGUGUGAGUUGUGAUUUUCUUCACACAAUUAUUCGCAAGUUCAAGAUGAAUUUUAAUAAUAUUAAUAAAAUAGUAUCAACACUUGGAUUUUUUUUAUUGAUUGUAUUUAAUUGGUAUUGUUUUC